rnacentral:lncRNA from 1 species
CACCCCGGUCUCGGGCAGGAAAAGGGUCUUGAGCCGCGCGCUCUCGUUCUGCCGCUGCUCCUCCCAGAAGUGGAUCUGCGGGAAGGGCCGUGGGGAGCUGAGUGAGGCACGGAUCCCACCCAGCUCAGCCUCCCCGAGCCCCCGGCUGUGCUCCAACGCCGCUGCCCGGGCUCCCGAGCCCCUGACCCAGCCUGGCGGCUCCGGGUGCGCCGGAGGGAAGGGAACAGCCUCUCCUCCUGGAGCGCUCCAGGCGGUGCUGGGCAUCAGACACGGCUCACAUCACCCGGGUGUGCUGAGAUCACCUUCGAGCAGUGCCUGGUUCCCGGGGGAUGGGGACAAGCAGGAGGAAUCACAACGGAUGGGGACCAGGAAGUGUCUGGAGCAUGGGGCUGGGUACCGCGGCUGCAUCCUAAUGCAUCCCAACUGCACCCCGGCCCAUCUCGGCUGCAUCCCGGGACAUCCCAGCUCUAUCCCAGUGCAUCCCGGGUCAUCCCGGCACAUCCCGACACAUCCCAGCUCUAUCCCAGUGCAUCCCGACAUAUCCCGGCUGCAUCCCGGGGCAUCCUGACACAUCCCGGCUGCAUCCCGACACAUCCCAGCUCUAUCCCAGUGCAUCCCGGCACAUCCCGACAUAUCCCGGCUGCAUCCCGGGGCAUCCCAACACAUCCCGGCUGCGUCCCGGGACAUCCCAGCUCUAUCCCAGUGCAUCCCGACAUAUCCCGAUUGCAUCCCAACACAUCCCGGCUCCAUCCCAAAGCAUCCCGACACAUCCCGGCUGCAUCUCGGGGCAUCCCGACACAUCCCAGCUCUAUCUCGAAGCAUCCUGACACAUCCCGGCUGCAUCCCGACACAUCCCAGCUCUAUCCCGACACAUCCCAGCUCUAUCCCGACACAUCCCAGCUCUAUCCCGGCGCAUCCCGGCCGCAUUCCAGGGCUGACGGCGCCAUCUGCUGCUCCGCCGCCGCUCGGCAUCGGGAUGUUUCACCCGGGAUCUCCUCGGGUCUCCAGCAUCUUCCCAGAGCCCCCCGUGUCCCCGAGCUGCCAGGUGACAGCAGGUACCUUGUAGCCCUGUAUGUCGCCGUUCUGGCUCUCCACCGGGGGCGGUUCCCAGGUGACAUCCAGCUGCGUGGCCGUGGCCGCCUGCACAGCCACGUUCUGGGGCGCUCCGGUGGGCACUGUGCCGAGGGAGGGGACAGUGUCACCGCGCCGCUGCGGGGGAUGCGCUGC